UCCUGUCUCCUCCGCCGGGGGGCCGCGUUAAAGGCGAGGACCCUGGACCCCGGCAUUUUUCUGUCGGCCCAACGCGGCGAGGCGGCGAGGUGGCUCGGUCUCCACCCGUUACCCAUCCUUCAAGGGCCACCUCGAGUCGCACCAUCUCCUGUUCGCCCACCCGGUUCUGGAGACCAGAACCUCCACCCCCGACUUUGUCCAGCCCAGGGUGCUGGGCGCCUGCCAUGUGGUCCUUGCCGGGCUCCCAGCCUCUCUUCUGAAGGCGAUUGCAGUGUUUUAAGGCAUCAGGACCAGACUCCCGCUGGGCACCUGUAUCCUGGCAGAAACCCGGACAUGGAGGGAAGGGAGCCCCAGAUAAUCCCUUCACCCAUCCACAAGGAAGGAGUCUUCACCAGCCCUGACGCCUAUGGUGGCCUAAGCCUAGCUCAUCCUGGAAGGCGGGGGGUCUUGCUGUAGCUGUCAGCGAGGACCAGUGCUCCACCUGCAAGCAGAGAAGCCCAGAGCAGCUCUGACUCUCAGACUGCUCCAUCCUUACUGGCUCCUUCUUGUCCAAGGAUGCACUGAAUGGAGCAGUUGCCACAAGUGCAGUAUGUACUGCUUCUUGAUUGUCAAGAGGCACCCCCAUUUUAUAGAGAGCAAAAGUGAGGCCGCCUGAAGCAGCCAAAUUUACGAAAGAAACAGUGGUGGCAGAACUGAUGCUUGGGGCCUGAACUGCAAAUGUGGAAUCCUCUGUGCAGGUCUGAUUGUCCCAAGUCAAGGCCAAUGUGGUAGAUGGAGAACAAAGGGGCAACUGAAAUGAGAAAGGGGGUGGGCAAGUGAUCGCAGGAAGAGGAGCCUCACUUUGGAAGGAUAAAGACAGAGAGGGGAUGAGAUCAGAAGCUAUGCGGUCAUGAAUACUACUUAAAGGCAAACGUGGCCUGGCUUCUCAAACCUCAGAACCCUUGAGAAGCGUGAGAGAAGUGAAGUCCCACCUCUUAACUGAACAAGACUCACUAACCCUGAGAGGUGAGAGGAUAAAUGGAUUCAGAAAAUGUUUAGAGCAACUCAUAGACGGGUGUGCCACAAAACUAGGUUUGUGAUUGGGGCAUAUUCCUGCUGCAUUAGUCAGGGUUCUCGAGAAGCAGAAGCAAUACAAUAAAUAUAGGCUGAGAAGCCCCACCAUCUGCCGUCUGCAAGCUGAAGACCCAGGGGAGCCACUGGCGUAAGUCCCAGUCCAAGUGUGAAGACCCAAGAACCAGGGGUGCCGAUGGACAGGAGGAGAUGGAUGUCAGCUCAAGGAGAGAGCAAAUUCACCCUUCCUGCACUUUUUUUGUUCUAUUCAGGCCUUCAGUGGAUUGGAUGAUGACCACCCACAUUGGUGACAAUGAUCUUUACUCAGUCUACCCAUUCGAAUGCUAAUCUCUUCCAGAAAAACCCUUACAGACAUGUUUUACCAGCCAUCUGGGCAUCCCUUAGCCCAGUGAAUUUGACCUGUAAAAUUAACCAUCACACCCGCCCUGUCCAAAUGCCCCUUCCACAGAGUCCUGGGCUGGUACCACAGAAAGUUCUCGUACUCAGGGAUGAUCUAGUCCAGUCCUUUCCACGGAUGGCCAUCCUCCUAAAUGCAAUCAGGUCUCGCCCAAAGCACUGGGCUCUGUGCUGAGAGACAGGCAGACAGGGCUUCCUUGCUGAAUCUUGAUUUCUCAGAGGGUUUACACAGGAAGAGAGGGCCACAACAUGCUGGAGAGAGGGAGAGCUUUCUGGGAGGUAACUGGGCAUUAUAUUUCAAGUCCUUGAAAAUGUGCGCCUUCCCUGACAUGACAACCGCACUUGUAGAAGUAAUCUAUAAAUAAUCAGGGCUGCAGAUCAAGAUCUGGAACAGGGCAGUUCAUCACGGCAUUAUUUAUAAUAACAAACAGUAGGUAACCCAGUGGCUAAUGGUGACUAUUGGUAAAAUAAAUUAUGGUACAACCAUGCAACGACAUACCAUGCAGCUGUUAAAAAUUGUGUUCUCAAAGAAUGUUUGAAUAAAUGGGGAAAUGCUCAUAGUAUAUACCAUAGGUUAAAAAAAAGAGAAUACAAAACUGCAUAUACCGAUGCAGUCCGAUAGAAUUCUGUGAUGAUGGAAACGUUUGACAUCUGCACUGUCCAAUAUUGUAGCCACUAGUCACUUAUGACUACUGAGCACUUGAAAUCUUUGGCUAGUGUGACUGAGGAACUGAAUUUUGAAUUCGAAUAAAUUUAAAAUUUAAAUAGCCACACGUGGUUAAUAGCUUCAGUAUUGAGCUGCACAGGUACGGUAUAAUUCCAACUGUAUUAAGAAAAGGUAUGUAAAAACAAAGGAAAAAAGAUUGAAAGAAAGGAUCUGGAAAUGCAUAUAGUAGUUUUCUCUGUUAGUGAGAUUAUGGGAGAUUUAAAUUUUAAUUUUUCUGCUUUCAAAUAUUCCGACAAUAAACAGUUUCAUUCUAUAAUGGGAACGAUAAGAGAGGGGUAGCAGAAGGGGGAAGAAGAGAGAGGAACAGCCAUUGCAGGCACGGCUCCUGUUGGCGGGAAGGCCCCAGCGCUGGCGGAGCUGGCCAAGCUGGCCUGGGAGCCGGGGUAAUCUGCCUCGCACAGGGCUUGUUUUGACAGGAGUGUUGUGCCUCUGGUGGCUUGGGGCUUCUCCAAGUGGCAGGGCGACCUAGCUGACACGCUACAAACUCGAUUUAGCUGGUGUGAGCAUGUGUGUGUGUGCACGUGGGUCUUGCCAUCUGUUGCCAACCUGGCAGUGAAGUGUUGCCUCCUCAGCUGUGUUUGUUGAGACUUGGGCGGAUUUUGUUGUUUGAAUUUCUUGCUUGCUUCCCAGGCCUUACUUCAGCUGCUUCUCCGAGUUCCUGUUAACUUUAAGGAGCUUCCAGCUAAGCUCUUUGCUGGCCCUCCAAAGCCUUUGAGAAUCGGAGAAAGCUCCUGCAGGUGGGUCUCAGCAGACAGCACGGAGGAGACCAGGGCCUACUCACUAUGGUUUGCUGGUGCGUCAGGAAUUUAGGAGUUUGAAUUAUUUGAAGUGGCAAGAAUAAAGGAAGAUGGAAUUUUCCUAAAUACAUAGCUGGAGGCUUUUUAAGUUUUUAUAAGUAGGGAGGCCAUAGUAGUGGUUCUCAAACUUCAGAGAGCUUAAGAACCGCCUGGCCUGGCUGCUUGUUAGAAAUGCAGAUUCUUAGUGUUAAACCCCCAGGAUUAUUUACACCCCCCUCCCCACCCCGCAUUUUACGGAUGCAGAAAUGGCAGGCAGGGGAGACAGAGCGCCAAGCCAUGGCCUGAGGGCACCUGCUAGUCAGCAGAGCUGGGAUUAGACUCGGCUGUCCUGACUCUCCAACAUGCGUGUCUUUCACUAUAUCCUGCUGCCUCUCAGCCGCCUGCGGCUGAUGUUUGCCGUUAAGGAAAGCGUUAGAUCAAAGUGAGGUCCAACCAAUUCUAUAACACCAGCUCGAUGUCCAACCAUUCAAUUCAAUCCUGUCCCUGACUACUCAGAGUUCCACUCUACUCCAACAGAACUGUGAAGUCCAGCUAGAGACAAUAGUAAAGAUGAGGCAAUCUGAUUAGGCAAUCUGAUGAGGCGUCUGGGACAGAGAGGGCCCACUCUGCCCUAGACAGUGCCCUCAAGCACCCAAAGAACUUCGACUUAAAAAUGUCUUCCAGCGGCCGGCCCAAUGGCCAAGUGGUUAAGUUUGCACGCUCCACUUUGGUGGCCCAGGGUUUCACUGGUUCGGAUCCUGAGCGUGGCCAUGGCACCACUCGUCAGGCCGUGUUGAGGCAGCAUCCCACAUGCCACAACUAGGACCCACAACUAGAAUAUACAACUAUGUGCUGGGGGGAUUUGGGGAGAAAAAGCAGAAAAAAAAUUAAAAAAGAAAUGUCUUACAUUUGCCAGUUAGGGUGCCUCAAACGUGGGCAGACUUAGGUUAUAACGCAAAGAUGUUAACUGGGAGAAGUAGGGCAUUAAAUCAUUAACAGAAAUUAGUGGGACUAGUCAAAGAGGAUAGCUUCCUGCCCUCCCUGCAGAGGAGAGCAGGGCAGCUGGCCCAGCAAGUCUUCCACACCCUGAGGAGUCUGGCCACACCUCCCACUGAGAGAGGGCACCCACAGUAGCCUCAUGUCAGAGCUGUGGCCCAAGGGCCUUGGGGACAGCUCAGGAUGCUGAGCAGAGUUUCAAGAAAGACAGCUCCAUAACUUCCACUAGAAAACCCAGACAUUGACUGUAAUUCACU